GUCGAACGAGAAAGAGGAGCAAUCCAUGAGUAAAGUGGCGACCGGGUGAGUAACACGUGACUAACCUGCCCUUGAGUGGGGGAUAACCUCGGGAAACCGGGGCUAAUACCGCAUAACAUCGCAAGAUCAAAGGAGCAAUCCGCUGAAGGAGGGGGUCGCGGCUGAUUAGUUAGUUGGUGAGGUAACGGCUCACCAAGACGAAGAUCAGUAGCCGGCCUGAGAGGGCGCACGGCCACACUGGAACUGAAACACGGUCCAGACUCCUACGGGAGGCAGCAGUGGGGAAUUUUGCACAAUGGGGGAAACCCUGAUGCAGCAACGCCGCGUGGAGGAUGAAGUCCCUUGGGAUGUAAACUCCUUUCGACCGGGACGAUAAUGACGGUACCGGUGGAAGAAGCCCCGGCUAACUCUGUGCCAGCAGCCGCGGUAAUACAGAGGGGGCAAGCGUUGUUCGGAAUUAUUGGGCGUAAAGGGUGCGUAGGCGGUGCGGUAAGUCUUUUGUGAAAUCUCCGGGCUCAACUCGGAGUCUGCAGGAGAAACUGCCGUGCUUGAGUAUGGGAGAGGUGAGUGGAAUUCCUGGUGUAGCGGUGAAAUGCGUAGAUAUCAGGAGGAACACCUGUGGCGAAAGCGGCUCACUGGACCAUAACUGACGCUGAGGCACGAAAGCUAGGGGAGCAAACAGGAUUAGAUACCCUGGUAGUCCUAGCCCUAAACGAUGAUUGCUUGGUGUAGCAGGUACCCAAUCCUGCUGU
rnacentral:rRNA from 1 species